rnacentral:snoRNA from 1 species
UGAACCAGUGAAAAGAAUGUAUCAGAAACCAGAGAUUAUGAAAAACCUAGUUUUGUAUACCUGAAGUCCAUA